rnacentral:tRNA from 1 species
GGGCAGUUAGAUCAGGGAUUCUUCGGCUCUUAACCGACAGGUCGCAGGUUCGAAUCCUGCUCGCCCG